UACGAAGGGGGCUAGCGUUGCUCGGAAUCACUGGGCGUAAAGGGCGCGUAGGCGGCGUUUUAAGUCGGGGGUGAAAGCCUGUGGCUCAACCACAGAAUGGCCUCCGAUACUGGGACGCUUGAGUAUGGUAGAGGUUGGUGGAACUGCGAGUGUAGAGGUGAAAUUCGUAGAUAUUCGCAAGAACACCGGUGGCGAAGGCGGCCAACUGGACCAUUACUGACGCUGAGGCGCGAAAGCGUGGGGAGCAAACAGG
rnacentral:rRNA from 1 species